rnacentral:rRNA from 1 species
CCAAGUUUAAGGUGGUAGGCUGAAAUCUUAGGUAAAUCCGGGGUUUCAAGGCCGAGAGCUGAUGACGAGUCGUCUUUUAGAUGACGAAGUGGUUGAUGCCAUGCUUCCAAGAAAAGCUUCUAAGCUUCAGGUAACCAGGAACCGUACCCCAAACCGACACAGGUGGUCGGGUAGAGAAAUACCAAGGCGCUUGAGAGAACUCGGGUGAAGGAACUAGGCAAAAUGGCACCGUAACUUCGGGAGAAGGUGCGCCGGCUAGGGUGAAGGAUUUACUCCGUAAGCUCUGGCUGGUCGAAGAUACCAGGCCGCUGCGACUGUUUAUUAAAAACACAGCACUCUGCAAACACGAAAGUGGACGUAUAGGGUGUGACGCCUCCCCGGUGCCGGAAGGUUAAUUGAUGGGGUUAGCGCAAGCGAAGCUCUUGAUCGAAGCCCCGGUAAACGGCGGCCGUAACGAUAACGGUCCUAAGGUAGCGAAAUUCCUUGUCGGGUAAGUUCCGACCUGCACGAAUGGCGUAACGAUGGCGGCGCUGUCUCCACCCGAGACUCAGUGAAAUUGAAAUCGCUGUGAAGAUGCAGUGUAUCCGCGGCUAACGGAAAGACCCCGUGAACCUUUACUGUAGCUUUGCACUGGACUUUGAGCCUGCUUGUGUAGGAUAGGUGGGAGGCUUUGAAGCGUGGACGCCAGUUCGCGUGGAGCCAUCCUUGAAAUACCACCCUGGCAUGCUUGAGGUUCUAACUCUGGUCCGUAAUCCGGAUCGAGGACAGUGUAUGGUGGGCAGUUUGACUGGGGCGGUCUCCUCCUAAAGAGUAACGGAGGAGUACGAAGGUGCGCUCAGACCGGUCGGAAAUCGGUCGCAGAGUAUAAAGGCAAAAGCGCGCUUGACUGCGAGACAGACACGUCGAGCAGGUACGAAAGUAGGUCUUAGUGAUCCGGUGGUUCUGUAUGGAAGGGCCAUCGCUCAACGGAUAAAAGGUACUCCGGGGAUAACAGGCUGAUACCGCCCAAGAGUUCAUAUCGACGGCGGUGUUUGGCACCUCGAUGUCGGCUCAUCACAUCCUGGGGCUGAAGCCGGUCCCAAGGGUAUGGCUGUUCGCCAUUUAAAGUGGUACGCGAGCUGGGUUUAGAACGUCGUGAGACAGUUCGGUCCCUAUCUGCCGUGGACGUUUGAGAUUUGAGAGGGGCUGCUCCUAGUACGAGAGGACCGGAGUGGACGAACCUCUGGUGUUCCGGUUGUCACGCCAGUGGCAUUGCCGGGUAGCUAUGUUCGGAAAAGAUAACCGCUGAAAGCAUCUAAGCGGGAAACUUGCCUCAAGAUGAGAUCUCACUGGGAACUUGAUUCCCCUGAAGGGCCGUCGAAGACUACGACGUUAAUAGGCUGGGUGUGUAAGCGUUGUGAGGCGUUGAGCUAACCAGUACUAAUUGCCCGU